GGAGCAGGUGAUGAGAACAAGACAGGGACAUCAGAACCCUUUUUCUGGGCAUGAUAGACUAAGUCUUCAAUGGGAAUCUCUCUGAUGCUUU
rnacentral:snoRNA from 2 species